rnacentral:tRNA from 1 species
GCCAUUGUGGCGGAAUUGGUAUACGCGUCGGUUUCAAAAAUCGGUCCUUUUGGGUUGGGGGUUCGAGUCCCCCCGAUGGCA